rnacentral:rRNA from 1 species
CAGCAGUGAGGAAUAUUGGUCAAUGGGCGCAAGCCUGAACCAGCCAUGCCGCGUGCAGGAAGAAGCAUCUAUGGUGUGUAAACUGCUUUUAUACAGGAAGAAACAACUCUACGUGUAGAGUCUUGACGGUACUGUAGGAAUAAGGAUCGGCUAACUCCGUGCCAGCAGCCGCGGUAAUACGGAGGAUCCAAGCGUUAUCCGGAAUCAUUGGGUUUAAAGGGUCCGUAGGCGGCCUUAUAAGUCAGUGGUGAAAUCUCCUAGCUCAACUAGGAAACUGCCAUUGAUACUGUAAGGCUUGAAUUUUUGUGAAGUAACUAGAAUAUGUAGUGUAGCGGUGAAAUGCUUAGAUAUUACAUGGAAUACCAAUUGCGAAGGCAGGUUACUAACAAACGAUUGACGCUGAUGGACGAAAGCGUGGGGAGCGAACAGGAUUAGAUACCCUGGUAGUCCACGCCGUAAACGAUGGAUACUAGCUGUUCGGAGCAAUCUGAGUGGCUAAGCGAAAGUGAUAAGUAUCCCACCUGGGGAGUACGCACGCAAGUGUGAAACUCAAA